CUACACAUAUUACACAAUAGUGCACAAUCAAUAGAAGAGGAAAUAAUAACAAAACUUUGUGAAUGGUCAUUGAAGCAGCGUUAAUAUGACUGUGAUACAACUGCUGGCGUAUGUUGCACUACAGGUAGACAACACAAAGGAGUCUAUAAAUACCUGAAUGAACAACAUGAUUCUAUUCCUGAUUUUUGUGUGUUUUGUUCAGGAAUCAUCUUCAAUUAAGGGAUUCAAAUUUUCGAAUUUUCCAUUUAACGUAACACCUGUUACACAAUGCCCACGUAACAGAGAAGAAUGGGAAGCUGCAAGUGUAAGACUACAGUGUACACGUGACGAAGGAUAUCACUGUGUUGCAGAGUACUCGAUAACUUCGCUUAUAGAGUUCUGUUAUCCACUAGGAAAUUGGAUUCUAUUUGAAAAAGGAAAUUGUCCAGUACUAUCAUCGACAGGACGAUUAAACAACGUCAAGUGCAGUAAUUUUACAUUUGGUUGCCCUGACAAAACACAUUACAGCAAUGAAAUUUUUAAUUAUCCAGCUUGUUUGAUGGUAGUGUUUGGCUGUUUCUCGACCGACUUAAUAUGCCUAGAUGAAAA